UACAGAGGUCCCAAGCGUUGUUCGGAUUCACUGGGCGUAAAGGGUGCGUAGGUGGCCAGGUAAGUUUGGUGUGAAAGCUCGGAGCUUAACUCCGAAAAGUCAUUGAAUACUAUCUGGCUGGAGGGUCGGAGGGGAGACUGGAAUUCUCGGUGUAGCAGUGAAAUGCGUAGAUAUCGGGAGGAACACCGGUGGCGAAGGCGGCGAUCUGGGUCGAUACUGACGCUGAGGUGCGAAAGCGUGGGGAGCAAACAGG
rnacentral:rRNA from 1 species